GGGCAGCGUCGACGGCUCGACCUACUACAGCCAUCUUGGCAACUAUGUUCUUCUGCCGGUUGACUACAUCCAGUACCCAUUCUUUCUACUGGACAUGCCUCCGCCCAUCAACUUCGGCGCUCUCGGCUCCAUCAUUGGGCAGGAAAUCACACAUGGUUUCGGAGAACACGG